GGAGAGGUGGCCGAGUGGUCGAAGGCGCACGCCUGGAAAGUGUGUAUUGGGGAAACUCAAUCAUGGGUUCAAAUCCCAUCCUCUCCGCCA
rnacentral:tRNA from 1 species